AACGAACGCUGGCGGCAGGCCUAACACAUGCAAGUCGAGCGCCCCGCAAGGGGAGCGGCGGACGGGUGAGUAACGCGUGGGAACGUACCCUUUUCUGCGGAAUAGCCCAGGGAAACUUGGAUUAAUACCGCAUACGCCCUUCGGGGGAAAGAUUUAUCGGAGAAGGAUCGGCCCGCGUUGGAUUAGGUAGUUGGUGGGGUAAUGGCCUACCAAGCCGACGAUCCAUAACUGGUUUGAGAGGAUGAUCAGCCACACUGGGACUGAGACACGGCCCAGACUCCUACGGGAGGCAGCAGUGGGGAAUCUUCGGCAAUGGGCGCAAGCCUGACCGGGCCAUGCCGCGUGAGCGAUGAAGGCCUUAGGGUUGUAAAGCUCUUUCGCCAGGGAUGAUAAUGACAGUACCUGGUAAAGAAACCCCGGCUAACUCCGUGCCAGCCGCCGCAGUAAGAC
rnacentral:rRNA from 1 species